GUGCUUGCUUCGGCAGCAUAUACACUAAAAUUGGAACAACACAGAGAAUAUUAGUAUGGCCCCUGUGUGAGAAUGACAUGCAAAUUUGUGAACCGUUCCGCAUUUUU
ensembl:snRNA U6 U6 spliceosomal RNA